rnacentral:rRNA from 1 species
UCCUGGUGGCGAGUGGCGAACGGGUGAGUAAAGUAUCGGAACGUGCCCAGUCGUGGGGGAUAACGAAUCGAAAGUUACGCUAAUACCGCAUACGAUCUAUGGAUGAAAGCGGGGGAUCGCAAGACCUCGCGCGAUUGGAGCGGCCGAUAUCAGAUUAGCUAGUUGGUGAGGUAAAGGCUCACCAAGCCGACGAUCCGUAGCUGGUCUGAGAGGACGAUCAGCCACACUGGGACUGAGACACGGCCCAGACUCCUACGGGAGGCAGCAGUGGGGAAUAUUGCACAAUGGGCGAAAGCCUGAUCCAGCCAUGCCGCGUGCAGGAAGAAGGCCUUCGGGUUGUAAAGCGCUUUCGUUAGGGAGGAAAAGGUUUUGCCUAAUAAGCAGAGCUCAUGACGGUACCGUAAGAAUAAGCACCGGCUAACUACGUGCCAGCAGCCGCGGUAAUACGUAGGGUGCGAGCGUUAAUCGGAAUUACUGGGCGUAAAGCGUGCGCAGGCGGUUAUGUAAGCCAGAUGUGAAAUCCCCGGGCUCAACCUGGGAACUGCAUUAGUGACUGCAUAGCUAGAGUACGGCAGAGGGGGAUGGAAUUCCAGGUGUAGCAGUGAAAUGCGUAGAUAUGCGGAGGAACACCGAUGGCGAAGGCAAUCCCCUGACCAGACUGACGCUCAUGC